rnacentral:rRNA from 1 species
UACGUAGGGGGCAAGCGUUGUCCGGAAUCAUUGGGCGUAAAGCGCGCGUAGGCGGCCCGGUAAGUCCGCUGUGAAAGUCCAAGGCUCAACCUUGGAAUGCGGGUGGAUACUGCCGGGCUAGAGUCCGGAAGAGGCGAGUGGAAUUCCUGGUGUAGCGGUGGAAUGCGCAGAUAUCAGGAGGAACACCGAUGGCGAAGGCAGGUCUCUGGGCCACUACUGACGCUGAGAAGCGAAAGCAUGGGGAGCGAACAGG